GUGCUUGCUUCGGCAGCACAUAUACUAAAAUUGGAAUGAUACAGAGAAGAUUAGCAUAGCCCCUGCGCAAGGAUGACACACAAAUUCGUGAAGUGUUCCAUAUUUAA
rnacentral:snRNA from 1 species